GGCUGUGGUUGCGAUCUGAUAAGAAAUAGUCAUAUAGCCAACCAACUGCCCAAUGGUGGUCGAGCAAAAAAUAGCCAACAACAAGCAGUUAGCCUAGAAAAAGGCAUUGCAAAUAGGACCGAAUUGAGGCCUUUUGUUCAGUCAUUCUUGGGUCCCAACCUGCUCAUCAGCGGCUUGGGCUUUGACUCUAGCCAAAGGCUAAUGUAGGGGGG
rnacentral:lncRNA from 1 species